rnacentral:rRNA from 1 species
UACAGAGGGGGCAAGCGUUGUUCGGAAUUACUGGGCGUAAAGGGCGCGUAGGCGGCCUUCUAAGUCGAACGUGAAAUCCCUGGGCUCAACCCAGGAACUGCGUCCGAGACUGAAAGGCUUGAAUCCGGGAGAGGGAUGUGGAAUUCCAGGUGUAGCGGUGAAAUGCGUAGAUAUCUGGAGGAACAUCGGUGGCGAAGGCGGCAUCCUGGACCGGUAUUGACGCUGAGGCGCGAAAGCCAGGGGAGCAAGCGGG